rnacentral:lncRNA from 1 species
CCGUCUCUUCUUGGCUGGCCGGUUGACUCUUGGACAGACUCAAGCGAAGCGGAGAGCAGUACCUUCAUGACAUCGAGCUCCCCGUUCGCGAUGGCAUAAUGCAAAGGGACUCUUCUCUCCCUUCCCUUCACAAAGCACAGGUGGAGACCCACAAUCAAAAGCUCUCUCGCUGCAUUAAUUGAGAGAGAGAGUGGGAGACCAGGAGGGGACAGAGGGAAGAAAAGAGACCCCGGGUGUGUGUGUG